ensembl:miRNA gga-mir-12277 gga-mir-12277
GGACGGGGCUGGGAUCCAGGACCUGCUGCGGGCAUUGGAAGUGUUUUGGGUGCCAGCCCCGUUGCGG